GAUGAACGCUGGCGGCGUGCCUAAUACAUGCCAGUCGAGCGAACAGACGAGGAGCUUGCUCCUCUGACGUUAGCGGCGGACGGGUGAGUAACACGUGGAUAACCUACCUAUAAGACUGGGAUAACUUCGGGAAACCGGAGCUAAUACCGGAUAAUAUAUUGAACCGCAUGGUUCAAUAGUGAAAGACGGUUUUGCUGUCACUUAUAGAUGGAUCCGCGCCGCAUUAGCUAGUUGGUAAGGUAACGGCUUACCAAGGCAACGAUGCGUAGCCGACCUGAGAGGGUGAUCGGCCACACUGGAACUGAGACACGGUCCAGACUCCUACGGGAGGCAGCAGUAGGGAAUCUUCCGCAAUGGGCGAAAGCCUGACGGAGCAACGCCGCGUGAGUGAUGAAGGUCUUCGGAUCGUAAAACUCUGCUAUUAGGGAAGAACAAAUGUGUAAGUAACUAUGCACGUCUUGACGGUACCUAAUCAGAAAGCCACGGCUAACUACGUG
rnacentral:rRNA from 1 species